rnacentral:rRNA from 1 species
GCAAGGUGAUAUGAACCGUUAUAACCGGCGAUUUCCGAAUGGGGAAACCCAGUGUGAUUCGUCACACUAUCAUUAACUGAAUCCAUAGGUUAAUGAGGCGAACCGGGGGAACUGAAACAUCUAAGUACCCCGAGGAAAAGAAAUCAACCGAGAUUCCCCCAGUAGCGGCGAGCGAACGGGGAGGAGCCCAGAGCCUGAAUCAGUGUGUGUGUUAGUGGAAGCGUCUGGAAAGGCGCGCGAUACAGGGUGACAGCCCCGUACACAAAAAUGCACAUGCUGUGAGCUCGAUGAGUAGGGCGGGACACGUGGUAUCCUGUCUGAAUAUGGGGGGACCAUCCUCCAAGGCUAAAUACUCCUGACUGACCGAUAGUGAACCAGUACCGUGAGGGAAAGGCGAAAAGAACCCCGGCGAGGGGAGUGAAAAAGAACCUGAAACCGUGUACGUACAAGCAGUGGGAGCACAGAGCAAUCUGUGUGACUGCGUACCUUUUGUAUAAUGGGUCAGCGACUUAUAUUCUGUAGCAAGGUUAACCGAAUAGGGGAGCCGAAGGGAAACCGAGUCUUAACUGGGCGUUAAGUUGCAGGGUAUAGACCCGAAACCCGGUGAUCUAGCCAUGGGCAGGUUGAAGGUUGGGUAACACUAACUGGAGGACCGAACCGACUAAUGUUGAAAAAUUAGCGGAUGACUUGUGGCUGGGGGUGAAAGGCCAAUCAAACCGGGAGAUAGCUGGUUCUCCCCGAAAGCUAUUUAGGUAGCGCCUCGUGAAUUCAUCUCCGGGGGUAGAGCACUGUUUCGGCAAGGGGGUCAUCCCGACUUACCAACCCGAUGCAAACUGCGAAUACCGGAGAAUGUUAUCACGGGAGACACACGGCGGGUGCUAACGUCCGUCGUGAAGAGGGAAACAACCCAGACCGCCAGCUAAGGUCCCAAAGUCAUGGUUAAGUGGGAAACGAUGUGGGAAGGCCCAGACAGCCAGGAUGUUGGCUUAGAAGCAGCCAUCAUUUAAAGAAAGCGUAAUAGCUCACUGGUCGAGUCGGCCUGCGCGGAAGAUGUAACGGGGCUAAACCAUGCACCGAAGCUGCGGCAGCGACACUGUGUGUUGUUGGGUAGGGGAGCGUUCUGUAAGCCUGUGAAGGUGUGCUGUGAGGCAUGCUGGAGGUAUCAGAAGUGCGAAUGCUGACAUAAGUAACGAUAAAGCGGGUGAAAAGCCCGCUCGCCGGAAGACCAAGGGUUCCUGUCCAACGUUAAUCGGGGCAGGGUGAGUCGACCCCUAAGGCGAGGCCGAAAGGCGUAGUCGAUGGGAAACAGGUUAAUAUUCCUGUACUUGGUGUUACUGCGAAGGGGGGACGGAGAAGGCUAUGUUGGCCGGGCGACGGUUGUCCCGGUUUAAGCGUGUAGGCUGGUUUUCCAGGCAAAUCCGGAAAAUCAAGGCUGAGGCGUGAUGACGAGGCACUACGGUGCUGAAGCAACAAAUGCCCUGCUUCCAGGAAAAGCCUCUAAGCAUCAGGUAACAUCAAAUCGUACCCCAAACCGACACAGGUGGUCAGGUAGAGAAUACCAAGGCGCUUGAGAGAACUCGGGUGAAGGAACUAGGCAAAAUGGUGCCGUAACUUCGGGAGAAGGCACGCUGAUAUGUAGGUGAAGUCCCUCGCGGAUGGAGCUGAAAUCAGUCGAAGAUACCAGCUGGCUGCAACUGUUUAUUAAAAACACAGCACUGUGCAAACACGAAAGUGGACGUAUACGGUGUGACGCCUGCCCGGUGCCGGAAGGUUAAUUGAUGGGGUCAGCGCAAGCGAAGCUCUUGAUCGAAGCCCCGGUAAACGGCGGCCGUAACUAUAACGGUCCUAAGGUAGCGAAAUUCCUUGUCGGGUAAGUUCCGACCUGCACGAAUGGCGUAAUGAUGGCCAGGCUGUCUCCACCCGAGACUCAGUGAAAUUGAACUCGCUGUGAAGAUGCAGUGUACCCGCGGCAAGACGGAAAGACCCCGUGAACCUUUACUAUAGCUUGACACUGAACAUUGAGCCUUGAUGUGUAGGAUAGGUGGGAGGCUUUGAAGUGUGGACGCCAGUCUGCAUGGAGCCGACCUUGAAAUACCACCCUUUAAUGUUUGAUGUUCUAACGUGGACCCGUGAUCCGGGUUGCGGACAGUGUCUGGUGGGUAGUUUGACUGGGGCGGUCUCCUCCUAAAGAGUAACGGAGGAGCACGAAGGUUGGCUAAUCCUGGUCGGACAUCAGGAGGUUAGUGCAAUGGCAUAAGCCAGCUUGACUGCGAGCGUGACGGCGCGAGCAGGUGCGAAAGCAGGUCAUAGUGAUCCGGUGGUUCUGAAUGGAAGGGCCAUCGCUCAACGGAUAAAAGGUACUCCGGGGAUAACAGGCUGAUACCGCCCAAGAGUUCAUAUCGACGGCGGUGUUUGGCACCUCGAUGUCGGCUCAUCACAUCCUGGGGCUGAAGUAGGUCCCAAGGGUAUGGCUGUUCGCCAUUUAAAGUGGUACGCGAGCUGGGUUUAGAACGUCGUGAGACAGUUCGGUCCCUAUCUGCCGUGGGCGCUGGAGAACUGAGGGGGGCUGCUCCUAGUACGAGAGGACCGGAGUGGACGCAUCACUGGUGUUCGGGUUGUCAUGCCAAUGGCACUGCCCGGUAGCUAAAUGCGGAAGAGAUAAGUGCUGAAAGCAUCUAAGCACGAAACUUGCCCCGAGAUGAGUUCUCCCUGACCCUUUAAGGGUCCUGAAGGAACGUUGAAGACGACGACGUUGAUAGGCCGGGUGUGUAAGCGCAGCGAUGCGUUGAGCUAACCGGUACUAAUGAACCGUGAGGCUUAACCUUACAACGCCGAAGGUGUUU